rnacentral:rRNA from 1 species
AUUGAACGCUGGCGGAAUGCUUUACACAUGCAAGUCGAACGGUAGAGGGGGCAACCCCUCGAGAGUGGCGAACGGGUGAGUAAUAUAUCGGAGCGUGCCCAGUCGUGGGGGAUAACGUAGCGAAAGUUACGCUAAUACCGCAUACGAUCUAAGGAUGAAAGCGGGGGAGCGCUAGACCUCGCGCGAUUGGAGCGGCCGAUAUCAGAUCAGGUAGUUGGUGGGGGAAAGGCUCACCAAGCCAACGAUCUGUAGCUGGUCUGAGAGGACGACCGGCCACACUGGGACUGAGACACGGUCCAGCCUCCUACGGGGGGCAGCAGUGGGGAAUUUUGGACAAUGGACGCAAGUCUGAUCCAGCCAUUCCGGGUGCAGGAUGAAGGCCCUCGAGUUGUAAUCUGCUUUUGUACGGAACGAAAAGGUCUCUCUUAAUACGGGGGACUCAUGACGGUACCGUAAGAAUAAGCACCGGCUAACUACGUGCCAGCCGCCGCGGUAAGAC